UAAUCUAAUGUGUCUAAUCAAAUUUAAUCACUCUAACCUGUUUUAGUUCAUUUGCCAUGUGACACUACCAGAGCCAAAGGAAUGAAAACAAUAGGGGUUAGAUUUAGAACAGUGAUUCGAGUUUUGCUCCAAAGAGGGCAUAUCAACACUUAUAAGAGGACAAGUCCAAUCUUGCCAAACUAGACAGAGCUACCAGAAGCCUUAAGUUGUCAGAAAGAGAAUCCCACAAGUGCAAUAGCCAAAAAGCCCUGGAGUACUUGGAUAAGGGUAAUUUGAAGCCAGGCUUUGUUAAAUGGGCUGAAGAUCGGCCCUCAGUGGAAAGAAAUAGGUCAGUAAAAAAUGUGUCAGUUGGUGAAGUGUGUGACCUUGUAUAGACACAGGGGAAGUUUUAUUUUGAGUACAUUAGGAGGGGCAGACAAAUGCAGGAGCAGUGGAUAUGAGACCUGUAAAUGGUUUUGAGUUCUCACAACAAACAUAAAGCUACAAAGGCUUGACUGAAAAGUUAAUGUAGCCUCACAUUAUUGUGCCUGCCGUUAUGUUUAUAAUAAACCAGGUAAAGCUUUAUCCAAACACAAAAUAUUCUUUUAAUGUGCAUUAUCUUUAUUGAUUGUGAUUACGGGUGGAAAUUUUUACCCAGCUCGUCAGUGGUAGGCUAAGGCUCAAAGAUUUGAUUAAGUGCAUGAAGAUGAAAAGUCAAGCUGUAGGAUUCCAUUUCAGCUCAGGGCCGUUGGUUACUCCCAAGCCAAGGAUCACAUGUUUUCACACUGGCCGCUUUGUAUAACACUGUUUACACGGUGUAUCAAAUUUUCUGGGUGUGUGGACAAUGAAGAAUUUACCCUAAAAUUGUUGCUUCAUCCUCUGACCUCUACAGCCAUCAGCUGCUGACAGUAAUACCUUUUCCUGCUUGCAUUGUUUCACUUGUGUUUGGGUCAAGUUCAGGGGGAGCCUUCUCAUAGUUGUCCCACUGUAACGGAUACAACUGGAUGAGGAUAUUUUGUUUCUGCCUGAAUGAGCAAAGUUUAUUACCAAAACAUGUGUUUAAUAAGCAUUGUGCGAGCUGCCUGACCUGAGUAUGAACUCUUACAGCCAUCCUGUGAAGAUCCUUUUUAAAUAGACUUUUUAUGCUUAAUACAUGUCUUGAUUUAGCCUUCAAGAAACAUGGAGAGGUGGGGAAUGCUACAAAAAUCCCACCAUGUAUCUGAAGCAGAUAUGUUGCAUUUAAGUAGUAUGGCUCUUUGAAGGGUGUGUCUCUGGGGAGGCUUGAUAGUCAGGAUCAUCGAAGGUCUCUGUAGACUGUAAGCAGAGGUUAUGCUGUAGUUUCCUCUGACAUUGUUCAGUUUACGCUGGAUAAUCUGUAGACCUCAAUGCAAACAGUUUUCCAGUGAGAACCGUUCACCGCAAGGUCUGGGGAUUGCCCAGAGUGACUAAGAUAUUAGUACUGGAAAAACAUGUUUUUGACUCCAUCAGGUGUCAUCUUUCAGUGCUUUGACCUCAAUUACAUUUAAUCUGCUUGAACAGUAUUGUUGUGAUGACACAAACCAAAGAGAUAUGUCAAAACCCGAUUAAAUAAACAU